GCGGGAGAAUCCCCAACAAGCUUGGGAAUUUCACCCCCAGGGGCAGCGCCUGCACGGGAGUGGGGCCUCCUCCUUUCAGAUGAACACAGUUGUCUGCUGCCUCCCACGUUCCACUUCUUAAAUGAGCAUGUUUGUGCUGUAUAGGCAAGGGCAACAGAAAACGCAAAGUGUCCUUUCCAGGAGGGCCAAAGGAGGGGGGCAGGGACGCUGGGAAGAGGCGCCAAAGCGGAGGACGGCUGCAGGGGUGACUUCAGCGCUUGGCUACCAAGACCAGGUGUUUCUCUUCCUCCUGCCCUGGGUACCAUCCCACAGAGAGGCCAGGCCCACCUGCAGGUCCUCACCUCCACAGAGCCAGCCUCUCUUGAGCAGCUCCGCUCUGCCUUCUGAUACUCAUCGCCACAAGCACCUUGUCCUUCCUCGGCCUCCCACUCCCUCCCUCUGAGCCCGCGCCCUGCUCCCCUGCCUGGCGGUCAGUCGACUGCCCCGCCCCGCCUCCAAUUCAGGUGGACAGGCUUCAGCGUCCACUACCGGGGAAGAGGCAGCCCCGCACCCGUGCCUCCCCCCGCCUCUGGGCCGCUCCUUCCCAGCCUGAGCCUGACCGCAUGAGGAAGGCACAACCUCUCUGCUCCAGAGACCUGGAGAGGCCGGGAGGCCCUGUCCUGGGCAUGGAAGGCAGGAGGGAGCCCUGAGUGCGGCAGGAGGGAAGCAGCGCUUCAGGGGAAGGAUCUAAUGGCUGUGACCUGCGUGGGCUGCAGAAAAGAAAUCUCUAAUGCACUGAUGAAUGGAGGAAGGGCAUCACCAAGCCGGUCGGUAUAGGAAGGGGACCCAACAGACAUUCAACUCUUUGGUAACCCUCCCUUCACGCCCAAUUCCAGAAUGCUUUCUGUUGCUACCAUAUCUAUGCUUUUCAGGGGAUUAUGCACUGUAAAUUGAUUUGCUUAUCACUGGCUUUCUCCACCACUGGCUCAGUGAGAUUCAACUUUUUCAGCUCUGCUAAAUCUUCCAAGGUCUCCAUCUGCUUUCUGGGUUCAAAUAUUUCAUUGGCUCCUCUCCUGGUCUUCCCGAGCUUGUGGAUUUGUCUUCUAAACAAAUCCCUUUACUGUUGCUUUUGAGAAAGUUGAGAGUAUCUUCUAUUUUUCUAAUAUUUGCAGCAUCUAUAAUAUCCUUUUAAUUCCCUGUGUACUUAAAAAAAUUAAUAUUUGUCAAUUUUUCUUUAAAAGAACCAACUUCUGGCUUCGUUGAUGCUAUGCUUAAUUUCUGUGCAUAUCUACUUCCUUUAGGUUUAUUUUGCUGUUCUAAUUUCUUGAAACAGAUGUUUAGCUCAAUUUUCAGCCUUUAUUACAUCCUAGUAUAACUUUGAUAUUUAGAUUUAGAAUUUACAUUCUAUUAUUCAGAACUAAUUAAAAUUCUAUAAUCUUAAUACAUUAAUGUAAUAAUUUAAUGCUGUAAAACCUUUAAAUUACUGUUGCAGCUGCAUCCCUCGUUUUGACAUAUUUUUAUUAUUGUUCAGGUUAAAUUUCCUUCAUGAUUUCUUCUUGGACCCAUGAGUUAAUUUCUAAACAUACAGAGGUCGUCUUGUAAUCUUUUAAUUUUGGUUUCUAACUUAAUUGCACUGUGGUUGGAGUGUGGUCUACGUGGUAACAACCCUUUCAAAUUUGUUGAGAUUGACUCUACCGUCCAGUAUAUGGUCGCUUUUUGAAAAAGUUCCAUAGGUGAUCAAAAUGAAUGUGCAGUUGUUAGAUGCAAUUUUUUUUUUAACAGGUUUAUGCUCGGUCAUUGGUUUCCACACAUCUGUGCUUUCAGGAUGAAGAUGUGGUCUUCUAAACACGUCCAUUUUACCAAACUUGCUAAAUGUUUAAAUCUCUUAUAUACUUUCCUGAAUUUUUUGUUGCUUGGUCUACAUGAAGCAUAUUAAAAUCUCCCACUAUGAUGCUGGAUUUCUUAUUUUUCCAUAUAGCUGUUUUUGUUUUACAUAUUUUGAGGCAAUGUUAUUAGGUGCAUAACUUAGAAUCUUUGUUUUUCUGAAGAAUUGGGUAAGCAUAUCAUUAUGUAGUGGUUCGAUCUGUAGUA